AGCUGGAGAUCACUCCUCUCGGAGCUGCUCUGUGAGUCCAGGACAUAGAUCUGUGCAAGCUUUGGGUAGCAAUGUCAUGGUAGUGAAAGAAGAACAUAUGGACUUAUCAACAGACAGGACUUACUGCCAUCUGCAGAGCCUAAGUUGACUUCAGACAGACCACAGAGGACACCUGAAGAAUGGGGGAUAGGGCAUAGUGGAUAUACCCCAUCUUGCUACAGGACCAUUACAUGAGACUAAUGGUAGAAGUGAGAGGAAGCACCAUAAAUUUCUACCAAACACUGAAGAAUGAUGGAACUGAGGAGACAGCUGGCCUUUAGAGAAUCUGGCCUUCUAGUUGUCCCUGCAAAGGAGCUUAUGCUACCAUGGCACUGAACCACACACUCACAGAAUGGCCUGGGUUGGAAGGGACCUAAAGAAUCAUGAAGCUCCAACCCCCCCGCCACAGGCAGGGCCACCAACCUCCACAUUUAGUACCCCCAUCCAACCUGAACACCUCCAGGGAUGGGGCAUCCACAACCAGACCCUUCCUGGAAGAUCUUGGCAUUCACUGUAGAGACUACCUGAGUUCAGUAACUCCUCUGCUACCCAUACAAGUGCAUGAAAAUUGUGAGCAAAUAAUACUACAGCUCAUCAACCAAUAUUAGUACUGCUGCUAAUACUGAUGGAUCUAAAUGAAUAGAUGUAAGAAAAAAUGGGAAGUUAGAAGACACAGUGCAAGUUCUCCUAAAACAUUUGCUGAGAAGGGGUUUUACUCAGAUAAGUGUUUCCAUGUGUUAAAGUGGGAUUGUUCACAUGAAUAUGUCUUUGAAGGAUUCAGUCUUCAGCAAUUACAUCUUUUUCACUUUAGAAGAUUUUAAUGUGACUGCUGUACUUUCUUUUAAAGACAAACAGAUACUUUACUGUAGUAUUCUUUACUUCUAUGUCUUAUAAGUUUUACAUCAACUGCUUUACAUAUGUGAUUUUUUUUUGAUACCUCUUAUGCUUCUUACUGUAUGAUUGUCAAUUUCUGUAUUUGAUUCAAAUUAAUGCCUUCUUAAAGUGUAAUAUAUUCUAUUGGUCAUAUUGCAGUGAGUCACAAAUAUGUCUCAUGCUCAAUUUCCUCUCAUUCCUUUUGAUCACUUUGUAUGACUAAUUUCUCACUACUGGUGUACUCUCUUUCAUGUUUUUUCUUUUCCUUUUGUAGAAAUUGCUGACCUUCACACAACCAUUCAUCCAUACUCUGUUCUCAUAAAAGUUAAUAUAACCACAAGCUUUAGGCUUCUUUCUAGCUUUACUCUUUCUCAUCUAACAUAGAUGAGCUGCAUUUAAGCUACAGCCAGCAGUACCUCCUUGCAGGUCCACGCAAUGGGGGUAAUGGAUGUCCUUGCUGUGAAAAAAGGGGAAGAGAUGCAAGGGAAUGAUAGUGCUGAAAAGAAGUACAAUAAGAGAGUUUGGCAAACUUUUUUCACAGGACAAUGAUUGAUCAGUUUGCUCUCUUCUGUUUAUGAAUCAUCUGGAAGUGGGCUUUGCCACAGUAUGCUCAAUCUCUUAGUUGCUUUUGAAUUAAUUACUAUGACUAUCAGCCUUACUAUUAAUGUGUAAUAAUCCAAAUCACCUGUGUGAUAUCUUUUCCUUGGUUCAAAGAUUCAUUAAUCCCACAAAUGGCUUUCAAGAUAAAUGUGAAUGUUUAUGUAACUUUCUGUUCACAAAUUUAUGUUCAGAGAACAGAAGUAGUCCUAUCUUUUUUUCUGUUUACAAACUGCCAUAGAGUGCACUUCCAAAUUUAUGUGAAAAGAACACAAACAAUUUAUUGAAGGAGAAUUUACAGAUAUACAGAUAUAAUUGUGCAGUAUUCGCCCACAUUCAAAGUGUUUAUAUAUGUAUCAUACAUGAGGAGGAAUCAGAAACUCAUUAACAGAAUUUUGUGUACAUUCAAUGUAAACAAUGACUCCAAUUAGGAAAGCAUAACAUGGUUAAUGUAUGUGACUCAGCUGAGUGUUAAACUUGCUGUGAUUAAGUAAUGGAUAGCUUUUGGGAAAUGAAUCGAUGGUCUCAGGCUUGUUCCUCCUGGACAGUUAUCACCAUUAUGCAAAUGAAUUUUUUUUUCCUAUUGCUUUACAAGCUAAGGAGAAAGAUAAUGAACAAAAUAAAGCAGCAGAACUAUUCCUUGUCC
rnacentral:lncRNA from 7 species